rnacentral:lncRNA from 10 species
UGGAGGUGGAGUGGAGUACAUCAGCCUAACGCACUUCUUGUUCCCCAGUGGAGGGCAUAUGUGAUGGCUGCCAUGGUCCUGGGCACACUGUACUGCAUCUCCUGCUUGGUGCUGGCUCUGGGGGUGAAGGAACAGUUAGAAAUGGGAACUUCUCUUUUGCUCCCCACAAAACAACCAGAGCGUGGAACAUAUGAAGUAAAGAAUAAUAUUUAUUGAAUGAAGACAUGAAUGUAACCCUGCAGGCCUAGGUGGGAGCUUCCAGUGCCUCUUGUCAUCAUUCUGGUAUGUCCAGGAAGUGGGAGGUGGCACCAAUGUGUAGCCACCCUGCCUGAGCCCACCAGCCUUGGAGUCAGAACACCCUGGGGUAAAUCCUGGCUCAGCUCUUCUCAGCUAUGUGAUCUCGGGGCUAGACCUUCCAGUAUCGUGUAGAAUAACAGCGGUGAGGCAGAACAUCCUUGUUUCCGUCUUAGGAGGAAAGCGCCAUUAGGAA